CUCAGGAUGAACGCUAGCUACAGGCUAACACAUGCAAGUCGAGGGUAGCAGGGUAGCAAUACCGCUGACGACCGCGCACGGGUGAGUAACACGUAUCCAACCUUCCCAUAACUCAGGGAUAGCCUUUCGAAAGAAAGAUUAAUACCUGAUAGUACUUUUUCAAGGCAUCUUGAGAAGUUAAAGAUUUAUUGGUUAUGGAUGGGGAUGCGUUCCAUUAGAUAGUUGGUGAGGUAACGGCUCACCAAGUCUUCGAUGGAUAGGGGUUCUGAGAGGAAGGUCCCCCACAUUGGUACUGAGACACGGACCAAACUCCUACGGGAGGCAGCAGUGAGGAAUAUUGGUCAAUGGGCGAGAGCCUGAACCAGCCAAGUAGCGUGAAGGAUGAAGGUCCUAUGGAUUGUAAACUUCUUUUAUAGUAGAAUAAAGUGAUCCACGUGUGGAUUUUUGUAUGUAUACUAUGAAUAAGGAUCGGCUAACUCCGUGCCAGCCGCAGC
rnacentral:rRNA from 1 species